GUAACCAUUCCAUUUCAGUUUUGAAUUCCAGUUCUUGGUCACAAGGCACUUUCUUCUUUGAGUAGAGAUGGUAGGAAUUGUUAAGGAAAAGUUAGCACAUGUGACUCCAUUUUGGUUUGGGGCCCACCAUUGUUUAAAUGCCAGCACAUCAUACACCAGGAGGAGUAAUCCUUAGAUAUUGAAUCCCUGUGAAAAUCCUCCUCCUUGUCUCCAGCCUGCCUUGACUCCCAGUAUCUGGUUUUUGUCAGUCUCUAACUCCCUGUCUCUUGGCCUUGAUGUGAGGCCUCCCAUCCUGAUAAUAAAAGUUACUGAUGCAUAGCUUUAGGACCAUGCUGUGUAAUUAACAUACUGGUAUAGCACGAGGAAUGCACCAAGCAGGGAUAGGUGGUAGAUAAGACAAGGGUUUGUUUAUUGGCUAAGGUUUCCAAUGCACGAGGGCAACAUGCUUUGCUAAAAGGUAUAUAACCUUUGUAUAAUCUGCAUUCAGGGUCCCCUCCUGGCUAGCAGGGGGGCACCACGCUCGAGCGUAAUAAACUUAGUGUCUUUUGGGAACUCUGCAGUUGUGGACUUUGUUUCUGUGCCUCAGCCUAGAUUCGAACUGUGCGUGUCCUACCAGGUGUAAUUCGUAGCACUUGUGUGCGUGUCCUACCAGGUGUAAUUCGUAGCACUUGUGUGCGUGUCCUACCAGGUGUAAUUCGCAGCACUUGUGUGCGUGUCCUACCAGGUGUAAUUCGUAACAGUUUUGGCGAUCACGAAGGGACUCUAGGCUCGCCCCAACAAGCGAGACUACACUCCUCCUCUCGGACAGCUCCAGCCGGCACAGGGUUAAUAAAAGCCAAGAAGGGGAAAAAAAAUAAAACGGAGGACGAGCUAAUUCAACGCUGUAGCUGGCAGGCUUGGCAGGCUCGGUCCAAAGAUAAGACACUGGCCUGCCCAAGGACACUACUCACAGCUAGGAUUUGGCUAACAGCCAAGAAAGAGGGGGGCUUAAAUGUGCCCAAACAGCUGUAAGAUCUGCAACACACUGCCAGACAUUAAUGAAAUGUGUUAGGUCUCUGUAUUUACAGGUAAAAGAAGUCCUGCUUCAAGAAUCCUGAGCAAACCUGCCAUUUGUUAAAACCAGGUGACUGGGUCUACAUAAAGGUCCCUCGACAAAAUACUACUCUGGCCCCAUGCUGAAAAGGCCCUUAUUAAGUCCUGCUAACUACCAACACCGCUGUGAAGUGCCAAGGACUGACUGCCUAGACCCAUGCUUCUUACUGCAAAAAGACCCCUCCACCUCGAGGUGACUUCACUUCGACUACUGAUCAGUCUGUCCCUCCUUCUGGGUUUUUUUUUUUCUUUCCUCCUUUUAAACAGCAAAAAAAACAAACAAAAAAAAAAAAAACAAGGUGAAGUGCUAGUAACCUCUCCCUUGUCCACUGACAAAGCUAACCUGCAUUCAGUAUUUGCUAAAGAAACCAAAGCACUACAGGGUAACGUGCUAGUAACCUCUCCUCUGUAUAAUGCAAAACCAUGCCUGUUCCAAGAGAGAAGGAACGCCUGCUCUGCUAAAACCACCAAAAUCUAAAAAUUCCUGACUGCAAAAGACACUGAGAAUUGGCCUUGAUGGCAAAGACGGAGCAUUGUACAUUGGCAGGGAGAAAGUUGCGGAAUGUAUUCUUGGGAAUGUGAAGUAAAGUGGUGGGGUGGGUUUAUUCCAGAGGCUGGAACUGUGCUUGUAGGCAAGUAUAAAUACCAAAAACGCCUUACAGCAACGAACAUUACUCCCACCAUCUGCCACCACUCCUUUGCAGGUAAAGGUUCCUGGAUCCAUCAUAGCUACGUUAAGUUGGCGCUGGGACCCCCACCUGACCCUGACAAGCCAUUGGAUGAGCCACUUCACGAAUGAACACCACGACCAACCUAUGGACUAAGCUUUCCAGCUACUGGGACCUUCACAGCCCACCAGGACUUUUUGUGUUCCUGUUUAUUGGACUUAUAUUGGGGGUAGUGUUUUUUGUAUAGUACAGGGGAGGAUGUCGACAUUGGUAUGGUUUGCCUGGGAGGGGUUCUCUCCCUAUUCCCAAGUCCAGUACAAGGACGGGAGGUCAAUAGCUUCUUGAAUUUAACCCGUGCUAUCAAACAGGGUGUAAAUCGAACGCAGUGUUGGAUUUGUAUUCGUACCCCCACAUAUUUAGGUCAGGGAGUCCCGUUGGUAGGGGUACCUAUCCCCCUUAAUCGAACACUCCAAGCUAAGCUAUGGGCAAACACUACAUUUAACUGAAAUGUUACAAUCCAAAUAUGGUCUAUUGAUAUGGUGGCCCAGAGUAAUUAUGCUUUAUGUGUGUCACGACAUAAGGGCAUAGAAAAUACAGUUUUUGUAGGGAAUUUUGUAGGGUGCAAGGACACCACCCAAAUCAGCUCUGUUGCGGGAGGCCCCUCUACCUACCCCAGGACCCCGUGGCCAGUCCCCGAGGGGUCUGGCUGGUAUUGGUUAUGCAAUCACACAGCCUAUAAGGUUCUCCCAGCAGGAUGGUGUGGUACAUGUACCUUAGGGGCUAUAGUACCCGCCGUGACAGUACACCAGAACCUGACCCGGGGAGAGAUCCGCAAUCUAGUAUGGAGGGACCGACGAAGUAUUCCUUUAAACCCCCUUUCUUAUCGGCCCAAAGGCUUUCACUCCUUUGUGCGUUGGUUUCUGCCAUGGUUGGGAGUAAGCGAGCUGGAAAAAGCUAUAGUUAACAUUUCAGCUGCUUUGGAACUAAUGGCAAAUGCUACUGCAGAUGCUCUCUCUGCCCUUCAAAUUGAAGUCACCCAGCUAUCCCAAACUACAUUGCAAAACCACCUAGCCCUGGAUUAUCUCCUUGCAAAUCAGGGCGGGGUUUGUGCUCUGGUCAAUUCAAGCUGUUGUGUAUUUGUAAAUCAGCACCAUAGGAUGGAAACUGACAUCCACAUCCUCAAGCAACAGAGAGCCCUAUUCCACCACAUCAGCCUCGACACUACCAAAGCCGGAUUCCAGGAGGUCUGGGACUGGCUCACCUCAUGGCUACCGGAUGUGGGGACUUGGGGACGGCGUAUUUUGUAUUUACUUUUUUUGACUGUUAUUGUUUUUGCGUUAUUUUUUGUAUGCCUACAAUGCUGCAGUAUGUGCUGUCGGCAGUUGCUAACCUUGCAGCGCGGUUACUCAGCCCCGAUAUAGCUUACUGACGUACAAAAAAAAAGGGAGGACUGUUAAGGAAAAGUUAGCACAUGUGACUCCAUUUUGGUUUGGGGCCCACCAUUGUUUAAAUGCCAGCACAUCAUACACCAGGAGGAGUAAUCCUUAGAUAUUGAAUCCCUGUGAAAAUCCUCCUCCUUGUCUCCAGCCUGCCUUGACUCCCAGUAUCUGGUUUUUGUCAGUCUCUAACUCCCUGUCUCUUGGCCUUGAUGUGAGGCCUCCCAUCCUGAUAAUAAAAGUUACUGAGGCAUAGCUUUAGGACCAUGCUGUGUAAUUAACAUACUGGUAUAGCACGAGGAAUGCACCAAGCAGGGAUAGGUGGUAGAUAAGACAAGGGUUUGUUUAUUGGCUAAGGUUUCCGAUGCACGAGGGCAACAUGCUUUGCUAAAAGGUAUGUAACCUUUGUAUAAUCUGCAUUCAGGGUCCCCUCCUGGCUAGCAGGGGGGCACCACGCUCGAGCGUAAUAAACUUAGUGUCUUUUGGGAA